rnacentral:rRNA from 1 species
CCUACGGGUGGCUGCAGUGGGGAAUAUUGGACAAUGGGCGAAAGCCUGAUCCAGCCAUGCCGCGUGUGUGAAGAAGGCCUUCGGGUUGUAAAGCACUUUCAGUGGGGAAGAAAGCCUUGGGGCUAAUACCCUCGAGGAAGGACAUCACCCACAGAAGAAGCACCGGCUAACUCCGUGCCAGCAGCCGCGGUAAUACGGAGGGUGCGAGCGUUAAUCGGAAUUACUGGGCGUAAAGCGCGCGUAGGCGGUCUGAUAAGCCGGUUGUGAAAGCCCCGGGCUCAACCUGGGAACGGCAUCCGGAGCUGUCAGGAUAGAGUGCAGGAGAGGAAGGUAGAAUUCCCGGUGUAGCGGUGAAAUGCGUAGAGAUCGGGAGGAAUACCAGUGGCGAAGGCGGCCUUCUGGACUGACACUGACGCUGAGGUGCGAAAGCGUGGGUAGCAAACAGGAUUAGAUACCCCGGUAGUC